CCGCUGUGGCUAAGGGGUAUAGCGACGCUUGGUAAGGCGUAGGCCGAGGGUUCAAUUCCCUCCAGCGGCU
rnacentral:tRNA from 1 species